rnacentral:rRNA from 1 species
AGCGAACGCUGGCGGCAGGCCUAACACAUGCAAGUCGAACGAACCUUUCGGGGUUAGUGGCGGACGGGUGAGUAACACGUGGGAACGUGCCUUUAGGUUCGGAAUAACUCAGGGAAACUUGUGCUAAUACCGAAUGUGCCCUUCGGGGGAAAGAUUUAUCGCCUUUAGAGCGGCCCGCGUCUGAUUAGCUAGUUGGUUGAGGUAAUGGCUCACCAAGGCGACGAUCAGUAGCUGGUCUGAGAGGAUGAUCAGCCACAUUGGGACUGAGACACGGCCCAAACUCCUACGGGAGGCAGCAGGUGGGAAUCUUGCGCAAUGGGCGAAAGCCUGACGCAGCCAUGCCGCGUGAAUGAUGAAGGUCUUAGGAUUGUAAAAUUCUUUCACCGGGGACGAUAAUGACGGUACCCGGAGAAGAAGCCCCGGCUAACUUCGUG